AUGCCGGGGGAGCUCCCUGACUUGAAAAUGCUGGCGCUCUUCGGAUGCAGAGCUGUCCUCCUCAGGGGGGCUGGUUACACGGUGAAUGAUCUUCUCGACCGCGACAUUGAUAACAAGGAGCUGGAGGAAAAGAGGAAGGAGAAGGCCAAGAUCUCCUCCGACAGGAGAAAGCAACUGGCGAAGCUCCGCAUCAAGGCCGAGAAGGCAGCCGAAGAGAAGGUUCUGAGGCUGCAGCCUGGGCACAGGUACUGCCUCCUCGGCCAGCUCUCCAAGGAGGUCGGAUGGAACUACGCUCAUACCAUAAGAUCUGUAGAAGCUGCCGCCGCCGCCGCUGCCGCUGCCGCUGUUGCAGGUGGAACAGGAAGAAGCCCUCAUGGCUGCCGCACAUCCGAAGUGGCGAGCGCCACCCCAUUUUUUUGUUAUCUGCAAUACAAGCUAGACAUGAACCAGCUCUUGCUACUAAAGGAACAUAGGCUGCGACUUGAUGGUCAUGCUGCUGUUUUGCUCUGCUUGAUAAUUCCAAUCAGAUCAUUGUCAACACUAUCAUCAUCAGGAUCUAAUGUUGUUGAGGAUGCUGGUGCUAUGACAGAAGAUCAAGGAAGCCUCGAGAUCCGCACCACAGUUUUAGUUGAUGUUGCUAGUUUGCCACCAUGUUUUGAAUAUUUGAUGUUGUUGAUGUUGCUAGUUUGCCACCGUGCAUAUGCUAUUGGACAUGCAAACAUGUAUGUGAUGUUGUGA
rnacentral:rRNA from 1 species